rnacentral:rRNA from 1 species
UACGGAGAGUGCAAACGUUGUUCGGAUUCACUGGGCGUAAAGGGCACGUAGGCGGCUCGGCAAAUCGGUCGUGGAAUCCCGACGCUUACCGUCGGAACGGCGGCCGAAAAUACCGGGCUCGAGGGCGUGAGGGGUCACUGGAACUCCUGGUGAAGCGGUGAAACGCGUAGAUAUCAGGAGGAACGCCGGAGGCGAAAGCGAGUGACUGGCGCGUUCCUGACGCUGAGGUGCGAAAGCUAGGGGAGCAAACAGG